CACGUGCCCUCUAGGGUUCUGCACUGCCUGCGAGGAACGUUGCUUUUACUUCCAGACUCUUUCAGCUUUGUGGGCCAGCUGAACUGCAAUAUAGAACUGAAUCAUGUCCUGGAAACUGGUUCUGUCCUGUCCUUUUCCUGUUAGUAUUCAGAUUUCAACAGGAGAUGCCUUAAGUCAUCCAGAAUGGAGUAGAAGCAAGAAAACCCAGAAGAUCUCAUGCAGUCCCAAUUCCACGGCAUUUCUCAAAGCCUAUUG
rnacentral:lncRNA from 1 species